rnacentral:rRNA from 1 species
AUUGAACGCUGGCGGCAUGCUUUACACAUGCAAGUCGAACGGCAGCGCGGGCUUCGGCCUGGCGGCGAGUGGCGAACGGGUGAGUAAUGCAUCGGAACGUGCCCAGUAGUGGGGGAUAGCCCGGCGAAAGCCGGAUUAAUACCGCAUACGACCUGAGGGUGAAAGCGGGGGACCGAAAGGCCUCGCGCUAUUGGGGCGGCCGAUGUCGGAUUAGCUAGUUGGUGGGGUAAAGGCUUACCAAGGCGACGAUCCGUAGCUGGCCUGAGAGGACGACCAGCCACACUGGGACUGAGACAAGGCCCAGACACAUACGGGAGGCAGCAGUGGGGAAUUUUGGACAAUGGGGGCAACCCUGAUCAAGCAAAGCCGCGUGCGGGAAGAAGGCCUUCGGGUUGUAAACCGCUUUUGUUCGGGAAGAAAGCCUCUGGGCUAAUACCCCGGGGGGAUGACGGUACCGGAAGAAUAAGAACCGGCUAAAUACGUG